rnacentral:rRNA from 1 species
CCCUUAGAUGUUCUGGGCCGCACGCGCGCUACACUGAUGCAUUCAACGAGUUUCUUCCCGGUCCGAGAGGAAUGGGUAACCUUUUGAAAGUGCAUCGUGAUAGGGAUAGACUAUUGCAAUUAUUGGUCUUCAACGAGGAAUUCCUAGUAGACGUAGUUCAUCAGACUGCAUCGAUUACGUCCCUGCCCUUUGUACACACCGCCCGUCGCUCCUACCGAUUGAAUGCUCAGGUGAGCCAUUUGGACUUUCAUCACGCUGGUUUCCAGUUUUGAUGAAGGAAAGUCUUGCGAACCUUAUCAUUUAGAGGAAGGAGAAGUCGUAACA